rnacentral:rRNA from 1 species
GAUGUUCAGAUAGCCAUGCACGUCUAAGUACAAACUAAAUGAUGGUGAAACUGCAAAUGGCUCAUUACAACGGUUAUGAUGUACCCGGGAGUUCCGAUGGAUAUUUCCAGUAACACUAGAACUAAUACAUGUCCCUGCGUUUAUUAGUUUCGCACAGUCCGUCGCUGAGUCAUGGUAAACAGUUGAUCGACUCGACGUCCCGGAACAGUUUCCGCCCCAUCAGCUUCGAUGGUUGGGUAUUGGCCUACCAUUGCAACAACGGGUAACGAGGAAUUAGGGUUUGAUUUCGGAGAGGGAGCCUGAGAAACGGCUACCACAUCUACGGAUGGCAGCAGGCGCGCAAAUUACCCAAUGCAGACACUGUGAGGUAGUGACGAGAAAUAAUAAAGCGGGACUUCUGUUUCGCUAUUAUAAUGAGGAAUAACCAAAGGUCAUUCCGAUCAGCAACUGAUGGGAAAGUCUGGUGCCAGCAGCCGCGGUAAUACCAGCGUCAGUAGCAU